ACCUGAUAGUAUGGUGAGAUUGCAUGAUAGCACCAUUAAAGAUUUAUUGGUAAACGAUGGGGAUGCGUUCCAUUAGGUAGUAGGCGGGGUAACGGCCCACCUAGCCGACGAUGGAUAGGGGUUCUGAGAGGAAGGUCCCCCACAUUGGAACUGAGACACGGUCCAAACUCCUACGGGAGGCAGCAGUGAGGAAUAUUGGUCAAUGGGCGAGAGCCUGAACCAGCCAAGUAGCGUGAAGGAUGAAGGUCCUACGGAUUGUAAACUUCUUUUAUACGGGAAUAAAGUAUCCUACGUGUAGGAUUUUGUAUGUACCGUAUGAAUAAGCAUCGGCUAACUCCGUGCCAGCAGCCGCGGUAAUACGGAGGAUGCGAGCGUUAUCCGGAUUUAUUGGGUUUAAAGGGAGCGCAGACGGGAGAUUAAGUCAGUUGUGAAAGUUUGCGGCUCAACCGUAAAAUUGCAGUUGAUACUGGUUUCCUUGAGUGCAGUUGAGGCAGGCGGAAUUCGUGGUGUAGCGGUGAAAUGCUUAGAUAUCACGAAGAACCCCGAUUGCGAAGGCAGCUUGCUAAACUGUAGCUGACGUUCAUGCUCGAAAGUGUGGGUAUCAA
rnacentral:rRNA from 1 species